UACGUAGGGUGCGAGCGUUAAUCGGAAUUACUGGGCGUAAAGCGUGCGCAGGCGGUUAUGCAAGACAGAAGUGAAAUCCCCGGGCUCAACCUGGGAACUGCAUUGGAGACUGUAAGGCUAGAGUGUGUCAGAGGGGGGUAGAAUUCCACGUGUAGCAGUGAAAUGCGUAGAUAUGUGGAGGAAUACCGAUGGCGAAGGCAGCCCCCUGGGAUAACACUGACGCUCAUGCACGAAAGCGUGGGGAGCAAACAGGAUUAGAAACCCUUGUAGU
rnacentral:rRNA from 1 species